rnacentral:lncRNA from 1 species
CAGUUAGUAUGAGGCAUAUCUGCAUGAGGUUGGGGAUACAGAGCCACAUGUCAGAGGAAUGCAGGAAAGGAGGGAGAUUGGUAUCUUUUGAUUAUCAUUCGUUGACUGAUACCUGUUGAAAAUUUAGGGGGGCACUUCUUCCAUCAGUUCUCCCUUGUAAACUAGUUUUCCUUUCCACUCCCACCCCUCCAUUAAUUAUUAUUUUAUGUGUAGAAGUUUAUGUGUAUUUGACUGGGUGUAUGUCUCUGUACUGCAUGCAUGCCUAAUGCCCUCAGAGGUCAGAAGAAGACUUUUUCUAGAGUUGCAGGUGGUUGUGAACUGUCCCGUGGAUGCUGGGAAUCAAACCAAGGUCCUGUGGAAGAGCAGUCAGUGCUCUUAAUUACUAAGCCAUCUCUCUAGACCUGACUUUUUAUUGUAAGUUCAUUUUGACAUGAGUGCACUGUGCCUCUUGUAUGUAACUUUGAAGUCAAUUUCAGACAUUAUCAAAUUUUUGAUCAUUUAAAAAAUUUUCGUCUUAUGUAGUAAGUAAUGCAACACAUGGAGGAUUAAGAUUGUACUUAGGGUCCCUAUUUUGUAGACAGACAUACUAAUUUGAGUUCAGAGCAGGCUGUUCAUGAUUUUCUAGAAUCACAUUUGUAAAUGGGGAAAAUAGAAUAACACUCAUCAGUUUUAUCUUGUUUUUCUCCUUUAUGAGUUUUAUAACAACCUUAUGGGAACGGAGGAUCCUGGACCCAGAGUCCUGGUGUCAGAGUAUAUCUUACAUGUUGGUCAGGAGCAGAUUGGUGAAUGCCACUUAUGGAGUAUGCUGGAAGCUCAUUUUAAUUGGCGUCUCCAGCGGUGGAGCUGACCUCAGCUGGGGCUGAAUGAGGCUCUCUUUUUUAUCCUGCAGUUUUCUGGGCUUUGUCCUCUCCAGUGUGCUUGUCAUCUGCUAUCCAUCUUCAGCUCUGUUCUUAAUUGGAGCAGCACAGACACAUCCCCCUGAAUCAGUGGCAGAGGCUGGAGACUUUGAUGACACUGAUAGUAUAAGUUUACUGCAACCACAGGGUCAUGCAGUUUCUGAAACCCUGACUAAUGGGUAAUGUGGUCUUUUUGGAAGAGGAAGUUGGAGGCAGUGCUCAUUUGUAAGAGAUCCAGCAGUAGUUUUAUCUUCUGUGGUGUUACCCAAAGACAGGGAAAGAGAGAUCUGUGGCUUCCUGACUGUGCAGGCUCUCGGGUGAUGGAUGACAUGGCUGCAAGGCCCCCUUUUCUCCUCUUUCUGCUGUCCCUUCUUAUUUGGGAGACUCUUUUGACUCUUUUCUCACCUGUCUCUGUUUCCUUGGCAUUUUCCAAGCUCUUCUACAAGGGGGACUUUCCUGGUUUCUUUCUCUGGUUUCUUUGAUUAUAUUGUUUUGCUGUUAUGAUCUCACUCAAAAACAAAAACAAAAACAAUGCCCUCAACUGCCUUUGUUUAUAUCUUAUAGGUUUAUUUUGUUUUUCUUAUACGAGUUCUUAUUUUAUUCCUUCAAAAUUUUUUUUUUAAUGUUUCUUCUUUCCCUUAUAGAUCUGGGGCUUGGAUUGAUCCUAUAGCCAUCAGUUUCUUUAGUCUGUGUGAUUGGCAUCCUCUGGUAGGGAUGGGUUGAGGCUAGGAGGAAGUUGUAUUCCCACUGUCACCCCAGGCUUCUGUCUUAACUUCUCUCUGACCUUAUGGAUCCUUGCACUUUGGUAUUCUAGUCAUCAUUGAAGCCACCUCUCAUCAAAUGGUAAGUAGCUCACUCUUGUAUAUAUCUGUACAAAUGAAUAUCUUUGUAGUAUUGGAGUAGAAUAUAUUCUCAUAAAUAUGUAUUAAGUUACUAAAGUCAUAGAACCCUUGUGUGCUACAUACAGUUAUUGUCUUAUUUUAUACAACAAGAAAUCAAGGCCUAGGGAUAGCAACUGUGUCAUACAAUCACAUAGCUAAGAAAGAAUGGAGAGAGAGUUUGAACACAGUCUCUUACUCCAAUGGAGAGUUUGAACGCAAACAGUCUCUUAUUCCAGACUCUACAUUUUUAACCCUACAUCUGCCAUUCUCUCUCUCUCUCUCUCUCUCUCUCUCUCUCUCUCUCUGUUUAUAAAACUCUUUUACAUAAAAGCACAAUUCUUACUCAGAGAAUUAAUAAGAUUGAGUUUAAUCUGGAGUCAGAUGUUAGUGACUGGCCCAGGAACACAGCUUCAGGUAACUCCAAAUCUCAUUUCCAUCAUGUCAAUAGUUUUAUGAAAGUUUUAUUAAUAUAAAGAGCGAAGUAAUAAAUCAAGGCACUUUUAAUGCAUUGGUGAAAACAUUAGGUGGUCAGAUUACAGCAACAUAGGGAAAUCCCCAUUAUAGGCCCCAGAUGCUCUGUGGUGGCAUUCCUACCAUAUGCCAGGAGGAAGCUGGUGGUUUGUUAAUACAUCAAAAACUUCUCCCUGUUAAUCCCAAGGGUGUGUGCAGAGGUGGGUAAGGAAUGUCUUUCAAAGGGACUAAGGAUUGCCAGGAUAAUUAUAACUAGGCUUGUUCCAAACUCUCCACAAUCAUUGAAGUUUUCCUCAGUUAAUCCGCCUUGCAGAAUGCUCCCUGUAAGGUGAGAUGUUUUGUUUUCUUGAAACUGUUUUUCAAAAUCUUCAUAUACUCCUAUUCCAGCUCCCCAUGCAAGUCUAGUCAUGACUAUAUAUUCUAUUUUUUCCUUCCUAGGGAGACCCUUCCAUCUCUCCUAGUCUUUAAACUAGGAGAUGGAAUUAAGAGGGGAGUCAGAGGAAGUACAGGGAGACACAGCUAAAAUUAAGGGCCUUUUGAGGGGUAUGGAAAUCCAAUACAGUAGAAUUUUCAUAAAAUAUGCAUAAGGAUAUCUGAAUGGAAUGCCAAAUGACAAGGAGAUGGAGAGAUCUCUUGUUCCCAAAUGAAGUUUUCAGUUCUGGGAAUAAAUUACAUCUACUUGAUUUGUUGGCCAUUGGGGCCUCCUAGGGCCUUCAAACAGUCAAGGCUAUUUGGUUGCCUCUGCAAACUGAUAGUAAGGCCCUACUGUUAAAGACAUACCUACACAAGUCAAUGAACAAGAAGUUGUAAUGACAAAGGAUAAACAGGCUGAGGAAGAAAUUAGGGAAACAACACCCUUCUCAAUAGUCACAAACAGUAUAAACUACAUUGAUGUGACUCUAACUAAGGAAGUGAAAGAUCUCUAUGAUAAGAACUUCAAGUCUC